ensembl:snRNA U1 U1 spliceosomal RNA
AUACUUACCUGGCAGGGGAGAUACCAUGAUCAAGAAGGUGGUUCACCCAUGGCGAGGCUUGGCCAUUGCACUCCGGUUGAGCUGACCUAUGCGAAUUUCUCAAAUGUAGAAAUCUCGACUGCAUAAUUUGUGGUAGUGGGGGACUGCGUUCGCGCUCUCCCCUG